UGAUUAUUAUCAGGGACUAUUUAGUUCAGCUGUUUUGUUCAGACAUGGGUAGUUCUCUGCUCUCAGUCUUAUUAUUUUAUUUUUUUUUAUCCCUCUAGUACUUACAUGUUUUAUUUUUCACAGAGCCCUUUUGCUCUGUCACCUUGUGUUUCCAUUCGGACUAUAAAACCUGAUGAGCCUCCACAGGCGAAGGAACUGGAAAAACAAGCCACACUGAACGCAUCGGUUGAACCAACAAUGGAGGACAUAACACUUUGUUCCUCAAGUGGUAACAGAGUGACUCAUUGUGAAAGGAGCUGAGAAUGUGCGACUGCAACGCUCAUGGAGUUUGUCAUCUCUUCUCUGG